rnacentral:rRNA from 2 species
UAAGUCAGCCACGAAUAGGCUAUCCCAACUAACGGCGGGAAAGACUCCACGGAGGGUGUAAGACCCGUGUGGGCGCGUGUCAAAGCUGUGCGGGCUCGGCCUCUAUUCCCUGAGAGUCGCGUUGCUUGAGCAUGCAGCGCUAAGCAGGUCGUAAACUCGAUCUAAGGCUAAAUAUCUCCACAGAACCGAUAGCGAACAAGUACCGUGAGGGAAAGUUGAAAAGCACUCUGGAGAGAGAGUCAAAAGACCGUGAAACCGCUCAGAGUAUAAGCCCAUGGCAGCUUGGAAGGCAUAUCGAUAGCGGGGCAUCGGUCUUCCUUCGCGGGGAGCUGGUGUUACCUUGCUUCUGUUGUGGCUCGUCAUGGUAGGGGGGUCAAGUCCACAUCCCGCCGUCGUGUGGGGGGUUCUUGGGUGUGUUGUGGUUUCCCUGUUGGCUUCGGCUCUCAGGGGGGCUCUUCGUGCUUGGUUCCUCUUUAGACACGGACGUUCAGACUCAGAGGCAAGAUGCGAUAAACAGCCCACCACGGCACGUUGUGAGGUCACCCACAGGCUCGACUUUCGAUUGUGAACCUUGACGCCGAGCAAGCACAAUGCGUGUCGCUGAGGUUCCUAACCAGGCAAAAUGCUGCCAGGAUCGUGGAACGACACGCGCUCAAAAGUCAGGUUCGGGCGGAGACAGAGUUCUGGUACGAUCCUCUUGCGACGAGCCGGCUUCUGGCCAACAUCCGAUGCUCAGGUCUCCCGCAUGUGCCGCGGGAGAUCGCCUUGACGGUCUGGA